rnacentral:rRNA from 1 species
AUGCAGUCGAGCGGAAGGCCCCUUCGGGGGUACUCGAGCGGCGAACGGGUGAGUAACACGUGAGCAACCUGCCCCUGACUCUGGGAUAAGCCCGGGAAACUGGGUCUAAUACCGGAUAUGACCACUCCAGGCAUCUGGUGGUGGUGGAAAGUUUUUCGGUUGGGGAUGGGCUCGCGGCCUAUCAGCUUGUUGGUGGGGUGAUGGCCUACCAAGGCGACGACGGGUAACCGGCCUGAGAGGGCGACCGGUCACACUGGGACUGAGACACGGCCCAGACUCCUACGGGAGGCAGCAGUGGGGAAUAUUGCGCAAUGGGCGGAAGCCUGACGCAGCGACGCCGCGUGGGGGAUGACGGCCUUCGGGUUGUAAACCCCUUUCAGCAGGGACGAAGCUAACGUGACGGUACCUGCAGAAGAAGCGCCGGCUAACUACGUGCCAGCAGCCCGGGG